GAGCGGUAGAGAGAAGCUUGCUUCUCUUGAGAGCGGCGGACGGGUGAGUAAUGCCUCGGAAUCUGCCUGGUAGUGGGGGAUAACGUUCGGAAACGGACGCUAAUACCGCAUACGUCCUACGGGAGAAAGCAGGGGACCUUCGGGCCUUGCGCUAUCAGAUGAGCCUAGGUCGGAUUAGCUAGUUGGUGAGGUAAUGGCUCACCAAGGCGACGAUCCGUAACUGGUCUGAGAGGAUGAUCAGUCACACUGGAACUGAGACACGGUCCAGACUCCUACGGGAGGCAGCAGUGGGGAAUAUUGGACAAUGGGCGAAAGCCUGAUCCAGCCAUGCCGCGUGUGUGAAGAAGGUCUUCGGAUUGUAAAGCACUUUAAGUUGGGAGGAAGGGUUGUAGAUUAAUACUCUGCAAUUUUGACGUUACCGACAGAAUAAGCACCGGCUAACUCUGUGCCAGCAGCCGCGGUAAUACAGAGGGUGCAAGCGUUAAUCGGAAUUACUGGGCGUAAAGCGCGCGUAGGUGGUUUGUUAAGUUGGAUGUGAAAUCCCCGGGCUCAACCUGGGAACUGCAUUCAAAACUGACUGACUAGAGUAUAGUAGAGGGUGGUGGAAUUUCCUGUGUAGCGGUGAAAUGCGUAGAUAUAGGAAGGAACACCAGUGGCGAAGGCGACCACCUGGACUAAUACUGACACUGAGGUGCGAAAGCGUGGGGAGCAAACAGGAUUAGAUACCCUGGUAGUCCACGCCGUAAACGAUGUCAACUAGCCGUUGGAAGCCUUGAGCUUUUAGUGGCGCAGCUAACGCAUUAAGUUGACCGCCUGGGGAGUACGGCCGCAAGGUUAAAACUCAAAUGAAUUGACGGGGGCCCGCACAAGCGGUGGAGCAUGUGGUUUAAUUCGAUGCAACGCGAAGAACCUUACCUACUCUUGACAUCCACGGAAUUUGGCAGAGAUGCCUUAGUGCCUUCGGGAACCGUGAGACAGGUGCUGCAUGGCUGUCGUCAGCUCGUGUUGUGAAAUGUU
rnacentral:rRNA from 1 species